rnacentral:lncRNA from 1 species
GCUUUCUUUCUCUGAUCCCCAAUAUGAGUGAGACCAAGAUGGCUGACUGGAGUGCCACAAAUCAGCUGGUCAUGUCAUGGCUUCUAAAUGCUAUUUUUCCUAAAAUUUCUACCAGUCUUAUUUAUAUUUAAGACAUCGGCUAAACAGGUAUGGUCUAGAGGAGCUAGAAUCCUUAAAGGCUAUUCCUGACCGAUUCCCUUUCGUCUCUGCUAAGAU